UCUUGGUGGUCUAGUGGUUAAGAUUUGGCGUUCUUACCACCAUGGCCCAGGUUCAAUUCCUGGCCAGAGAA